rnacentral:rRNA from 1 species
AGAAUAUACGUCGUGUACCUGAAGAACAGCCAUCGGGGUAAUACGGAGCAGCCAACUGGUAUCCGCGGACACUGCAAGUAUUAUCUCUAAUCACGGGUAAUCAAGUCUCUUUAUGAGUUUAGAAACUUCAACUCAAAAUUCCAGUAGAAUAACUUUAAAAAGACAGUAGAAGGGGUUAAGGGAAAGUAUAGUGGAGGUAAAAGGAAUUUACAGAGGAGCGGUGACACGGGUAGAUAAGGCACUUUACUGGGAUAUUGAAGGCACUUAGAUGGGAUAUUUAGGACACUCAGAGGGGUUAGAUAGGGCAGCAAAUCGGACUAGAAACAACAGUAGUCCGAGCCGUAACCAAUGGACGUUUGCAGUUUCACAGAUCGCCCUUUACAGAUCAAACCUAACGCU